GCCUAGUUAGCUUAGUUGGUAGUGCGUCCGCCUUGUAAGCGCUAGGCCGCGGGUUUGAUUCCCGCCCGGGGCG
rnacentral:tRNA from 1 species